rnacentral:lncRNA from 1 species
AGACACACACACACACACACACACACACACACACACACACAGGUUAGGGAGGGAAGCUAAGAACUACUCUAAUUUUUGUUGUUGUUUUGAUACCUGUGUGUCUGUGUGUGUACCAUCCUGUUGCUCUCUGCUGUCCUCUCUUGAGGCAGAGGGUCUGUCGAACUAAGCCUGGACUUUAACAUUUCAAGGCUAUACUGGCUGGCUACCAAAUUCUAGCUAGGGCUAUCCUCUACCACUCAGCUAAGCUCUC